rnacentral:lncRNA from 1 species
GGAGUUUUGGUUGCGGUGGUGAGGGUGAGAAAGAGAGAUCGAGUUUUAGGUUGCGGCCGCCAUGAGAGAGAGAGAUAGAUAUAUCGAGUUUUAGGUUGUGUUUUUUUUUUUUAUGUUAUAUAGUCUGGCUUGGCGAAUUCGCCGGUGAAUAAAAAAACACCUAUUCGGGUGGGCGAAAAAAUGGUGGAUUCGCCGAGUUUUUUUUGGUGAAUGGGUGUAUUUUGAUAAAAAAAUCCGUAUAAAUAAUUUACUCCAAAUACGCCAAAUUCGCCGAGUCUUUAUCAAACAUCAAAA